GCAACUCGACCCACUUAGAAGCUAAAAUCGCUCCUUCUGGGGACAAUCCACAAGUGUUUAUGAGGUAAAUGACUGUGAAAUUGUGUUGGUUUUCUGAGAUUUCAGAGGUGAUGUGUCUGCAGAGCAACUGACUCUGAAGAGAAAAAUGUGAGGGUUUUGGAUCUCCAACCAACACUCUGUUUGUUUUGGAAGCAAAUGUACAAGAAAAUAUUGAGUGACCCAAUCUGAAGGUCUUCAAAUUGCAGAGUUGAAUCAUGUUAGAGGUUGAUGACGAACAAUUUCUACAGAAAAACUUAAAGCCCUAGCUGAUUCUCUGCCUUUAGAAAGUAUGCAGUUCUCGGCAUUCAAAAAAGAUCUGAACCAUCCAAAUAAAAUUGCCUGGUAUAGGAUAAACCAUUGCAGCUAGGGUAAGUUUUCUUACCAUUUUCACAACUGACGGCCACUGACUUACUGCUGCUAUCCAUGGUGGUAGGAAAUAUUCUGCCAGAAAAACCUCUUCAGUCUUCAUAGGUACAAAUCAAAGCAAAGCAAUUACUCCAAUCCCAGGCAACAAGAAAACCCAAAAAAAGGGUUGAAUUUCAAAGUUAAAAACAGUCGAGGGCAUUUGUUUUUUUGGGACAAAGGGCGAAGAACAUUUGGGCGAUGAUGCUUUGGUUUAUAGACGCUCGACGUGGUUACUCUCAAGUGCGGCCCAGAAGCAAUUUGAAAGCGCCACUUUUUGCAAUUGGAAUUUGGAUGUAGGAGUUAUUUACAUUUUACGGUGUGUUGUCAAAAUCCUUGAGGUUUCGAAAAUUAGGUGAUGACGUACCUGAAGUUUCAAAUUCUUCUCACAAAAUUUGGUAUCAUUAUUUUUUCGUCCAAAAGUUAAUGAUUUCAUAUAUAAAAAUACUUACACAAAUAACAAAUAACAAAUUUAAUCUCGAUUCGAUUAAAAAACUAACUUGUAAGGGGCUUGAAGCUUAAUUGGUUAAGAAGAUAUAUCUCAUCCUAAGUUCAAUUCCCUCUUAUUGAAUUUCGCUUGUAAAAAUCUAAGUACUAAAUUUGUUAUUAUUUGAAGACUUUUUUUAUAUAUAAAAUCAUCAAUUAUAGAAGGACAAAUUAAUGGAAAAAGGUUUUGAGAAAACAAUUUAAAACUUUAUGGAGUAUGCUGCUAUUUCCACCCACCUAUCAUAUUUUCCCACAAACUUUAUCUUCAAAAUUUUAACGACAAAUUUACCCAUUUGUAAAAUGACUUUUGAUGACAAAUUUACAACUCUAUCUAUCUCUCUAACAAGCACCCACGCCCACAAUUUUUUUUUUUAAACCCAUACCCAUCUUCAUACCCAACCCACCAAAUAAUAAUAAUAAUAAUAAUAAUAAUAAUUCCAUAUUCGCACAGUAAUUACCAUCAUUCAACAUCAAAUCAUGUACCACUUCACACCAUCCCCAAAGCUUCAUUUAUAUCAAUAUAACAACUAAUAACCACAAUUAAAUAAUAUUAUAAUCUUAAAAUUAAACGACUAUAAACAUACCUUAUAAAUGUUCAAAGAGUAAUGUACACUAAAUCAAAAGUCCAAACACUACCAAAACUUGUUAUACGGCCUCAACAACACAUUUAAAAUCAAACCCUAGUUCCCGAGACUUCACGCGGACCCACCACCUUAGAGAAGUCCUAAGGCUAUUCUAGUACUUUACAAAGGACGGGAUAGUCUCAAAAAACUCUAGGUCAAUGGUUUGUUCAAACUUUCCAUUUUUUUGUCAAUAGGGCCUGCGAGGCCCAUGACUUUUGAUUUCAAGACCAAAAGUUCCUAGAGGUCCAACCAGGUCUACUAAACACAUCCUGAAAGUUUGGUUUCGAUCGAGUGGUAAGAUCGCUCUUGAUUGCGCGAUCAGACGGUCACCGAUUUACCAAACCCUAAAAUCAUUGAUUCAGAGUAUCCGGAACUCUGAUUCUCAAGCCGUGAGUUCCUACACGAUCUCAGAGGCACGAGAAAUGACAUACUUGGAAUUGGAGCCAAUCCAAUGGUUCAAACAUAUCAAACCCAUAUAUUGCUUAAUAGGCGUAAAUCUGUUCGACUGUCAUACGAUAACCAAAUUCGAAUCCUAGCAUACUGUCGCGCUCGGGACUACAUGGAGAACAUUUUAGAACACAAUGGGCCACCACACCAUGGCCCACGCCCCGCCACAAAUGUCGGCAGCGCAUGGGUGGAUUGAGAAAAUUUCGGCUAUGUAAAAUUCUCGAAACACCCUACAAUACCUAUACCAAUACGUUCAGACUAACAAUGGGAACACUUUUUUGUUUCUUGGACCAUGGUCAAAACGCGACCGGAGCUAGAUGAAAUCACGACCAAAACACCUGCCUAAUAUGGGUAUAUUGAACGAUCUGUAAACCUCAAAAUCGAUUUACAAUACGUAUAUAAACAGAUAGAGCACGAAGAGUAGAUGAAGUUUCAUACCUAACUCAACGAAAAUGGCGGCCAGAGUCGCUGAAAACGGCGUUAAAAACUUCUAAAAUCACCCGAACUUCCAAUCGUUCCAAUUUAAUUUCCUUGGGUUUUUGAGCUGGGAAAAUGAGUGGAUUAGAUAGAGGACGUCGAUACGAAACUUUUGCAACCAAUUUCACCUUAGUCGGACACUGGACGACAACGAAAUCGCAGUCAUAAAUUUGAUGCUGCGUGCGGAGGAAAGAUAGAGAGAGAGAGAAAGCUUAUCUGUUUUUAAAAUCCAACUUCGAAAAAUUUACGGUUGUGCCACUACACUUCCGUUGACCACAAUUUCUUCAUUAAAACCCCAAUUUGGGCCUACUACGUGUCCACAAACUCGUGAGAGCGAGCUCUACACAAUGGUGUCACUCAUUUCCCCUAGAUCCUUCUAGAUUAAAAGUGACCAAAUUACACCUACUCCCAAGGGUAAAAUUAUAAUUUCACAAAAGAAUUAAAUUUGAUUAAAUUGGGUCAAGGAUGUUAGAGUACGGAUUUUUGGUAAAUAAAGCCCAACGUUUUGUAAAAUGAACCCAAUAGCCCAUUUUGGCUAGUGCGUAGAUUCUAGAAAUUUGUCUAAUCUUAUACCGAAUGUUUUGGGGGUGCUUUUUUAUGCCAUGUGUUCUCUUAUGUGCAUUUAGGGCUUAAUAAAAUAGUCUCAUUUCGUCAUAUUUUUAUUGCACAAAUGCGUAUUUACGCAUCAAAAUUCAACACUUCGGUAUUUCUCUUCCAAUUUCAACCAUAAUUCUCGUUGUCUCCAAAUGGCUUCAAACAUGACUCCAAAAAUGCGUGGAUGCAUAGUGGCUUGGAACACAAUCCUAAAAUGUGUUAGUUGCUUGAUCCGAUCAUCAAUUUCAUUCAGAGUGACGAUUUUUUUUUUCUUUCAACAACUCUUCUACAACAUUUGACCAUUUUUUUUCUUGUUGAAAGUCACAAGUUUUGUCAACUUACCCCAAAAAAGAAAAAAAAAAAAAAAAAAAAAGAGGCCAAAAUAGUAAUACUAAAGUCCUUAUCUAACCUCCCGUAUCUCUUCAAUUGAGAGAUAUUUGAGGUUGACCCUUGUAGGAAGCAAGUGCUGAGUUCUUCAAAGACUAGGUAGAUGGAUAAUUCAAAAUUUUACCCAAUUUAUGAGGAUUUGAAUUUCAGCAAAGUGUUUGAUAGCAUUCUUGCGCUCCAUGAAUGAGGGGGGAAUUGAUUCUAAACAAUUUUAAUUGGGGAAAAGAAAGCCCACACUCCAACAAAUAUUGUGUAUGUGGACAUCGAGGACUAAAAAUAUGUGUUUUAGCUAAAAUAUAGAAGAAGCUGAGAAAAAAGAAAAAUUAGCCCAGCCCGGUAUAAAUUCCUUGUUCCGCCCUUAUUUGGGUGGGCUAAGGAAAUUUAUGUGUGGAAAGGGGAAUGGAGGAAGGGCCUGUAAAGAGGGAAGGGGGAUUGGAUUUCAAGAUGGGCGGGGUUGGUUGGAGCCGUUGGUGGUGCACAUAUGAUGGGGUAAGGUGAUAAUUUUUUUUAUUUUCAAUUUUUUUUUUAUAAUGAUUUUUCUAUUCUUAAUAUACCCUUGAAAAUGGAAAAACUAAAAUAUCCUUAAAAAUAUAUGGAAAAUUGGAUGGUGUUAAAGUGAGAUGACAAAUCAUGAAUUUUGAAAAAUUAAGGUGACACUUCUCUUAAAUUUUUCUUAAUAACAAAUUUAUUUCAAGGUAUAAGUUCAUGUAACAUUUAAAAAAAAAAAUUAAAAUCCCUUCAGGAAAUUAAGUGCUUGCAUAACAUCAGAAAAUUCAUUUUCAGGCACUUAUUUUCUCAUGGCUUGGGGCAAUGAAUUGCAUGUAUGCCAACUAAGAAUCAAUUCUUGAAAACUGUCAACCAAGUAAAGAAUAAACAAGGCAUCUUUUUAUAUUUUGACGAACAAAGAGAAGUUCCACGCAUCUUUGCACAACCAUUAGUGCGGGAUAGAUUCAUCCUAAAUAUAACAACUGCCAAACCACCCUACUUUGCACAUCCAUCAGAGCCGGGUUUUAUGUCCCCUGAAUUCCCAAUUCAUCAAGCAUUGCAGAUAUCGCGUUCCGAAUUGUUAAGGUCUCGGUAAAAAGGCUAACACGAGAGAAAACAAUGAGAAAAUGAUGCUUAUCGAGUCCUUUGAUGCCAUGUUGACAUGAUUCCAUAUGAAACUAAUCAAUCAUUGACACUGAAGUAGUUCCUAUAAACCAACCGUGGCCGCUUAACUAGGCUAGCUGCAUCUCAGAGGACAAUUACUCAGAGAGCAGGGGAUAAAGGAUUGAGAGUCAUUCUUAUCUUUUGAAAAAUGGACAGAAAUUAGUUUCUUCCACUCCUCACCCAAAAUACAAUAUAUUGUACCCUAAUAGAAGCAAUACAAGCGCACAUUGUACAAAAUCAACUUUCAAGGGUAACCAAAGUCGGGAACCAUAAACAGAACAAUUCGGGCGACGCUACGGCAAGCAUUUGUUCUAAUAAGAAAGCAUAUAUAAAUCUAAUUAAAAACAGGUAGGCUGCAGAGUAGAAGAACGAAAAACUGAAUUUACUUCCUGCAAAAUUUUAGUAAGAUGUGGGAUACAAUUUAAACCUUACUUUAAAGAGAAUUUCUAGGGUAGAGGACAGCAUUAUAGUAUUGUGCCAAAAGCAAGCUAAUGCAUACGAGUGAUGCAGCAUCAGGUGGCUAAAAUAAUUACAUCCUCACCCAUUUCAACAUAUCAGAUCAGACAUCCUGGAUAUCUACCUUCCCUUGAUACACACUUAACAAUUCAGGUACUUCGCCAAGAUAUCUGUUCACAAAAAUCUCCAAGAACUGCUUCUCUGUAGGUUUCAGCAGAGAACCCAGAUUCAAGUUCUCAUUUAUGAAACCUUUCAACAACAGAACUUUAACAACAGAGCACCUUGGGAUAAGUCUCCUCUCCAAACUGAGACCGAGGGCCACAGGAUAUUUGGCAAUCAUUCCUGACGACCAUCCCAUCUUGUUCACUAAAAGAUCCAUUGCUUGCAUAAGUUUCUUCUCCGAGACAACCAUACACUGUGGGUUCUUCCUGAAAGCGGAGGGAAAAUCAUCCUCAGACCAACCCCAUGUCUUAAGAAGUUCGCGACUUCUAUUCAAUACCAACUUAUUCUUACCACACAAUGCACACAGGGCAUUCACUGAAGUUGAUUUUUCCAGAUUAAAUCCCAUUUCCUUAACCUCACUCACAAGUUGACCAAAUUUUUCAGGAUUUGCCAUCAAAACGCGAGUACCACGAGUUAGCAAAAAAGAAAUGCAUGGUUGAGACAUGCCCGAUUCUCUCAAAAGCCCAAUAUUUGGCACCACAUGCUUGCAGUGACCUUCCAAGAAAAUCCAUGAGUUGAGCUUGAAAACAACACCAACAUUUUUCUCAGAGAGUAUACUCCUGAGGAAGUUAUAAGUGGGCAAAAUCCGAUUUCUCAAGCUGACUGCCAAAAGUUUUGGAUUAAAAGCCAGAGUUUUUAAUAGGUCCACUUUUGAAAUUUCAAGAGAGCUGAAAAACUCAAGCUUUGGCAAAAGGGUUUUCUCAGGAUCAGUUGAAAGAAGUUUUGGAUGUGACCUAAUAAGCUUUGAUAUCUGGGUUUGAGAUGCUCCAUAGUUUCUCAGAAGCUCUAAAACGGAGUCUGCUCUUUCUGGUGACUGCAACUCGACCCACUUAGAAGUUAAAACCGCUCCUUCUGGGGACAAUCCACAAGUGUUUAUGAGGUAAGUGACUGUUAAAUUGUGUUGAUUUUCUGAGAUUUCUGAGGUGAUGUGUCUGCAGAGCAACUGACUCUGAAGAGAAAAAUGUGAGGGUUUUGGAUCUCCAACCAACACUCUUGUUUUGGAAGCAAAUGUACAAGAAAAUAUUGAGUGAACCAAUCUGAAGGUCUUCAAAUUGCGGAGUUGAAUCAUGUUAGAGGUUGAUGAUGAACAAUUUCUACGGGAAUUAAAGCCUAGCUGAUUUUCUGCCUUUAGAAAGUAUGCAGUUCUCGGCAUUCAAAAAACAUCUGAACCAUCCAAAAAAAAUUGCC
rnacentral:lncRNA from 1 species